rnacentral:rRNA from 1 species
UACAGAGGUCUCAAGCGUUGUUCGGAUUCAUUGGGCGUAAAGGGUGCGUAGGCGGCGCGGUAAGUCGGGUGUGAAAUCUCGGAGCUUAACUCCAGAACUGCCUUCGAUACUGGAAAGCUCGAGUCCGGGAGAGGUGAGUGGAACUGCGAGUGUAGAGGUGAAAUUCGUAGAUAUUCGCAAGAACACCAGUGGCGAAGGCGGCUCACUGGCCCGGUACUGACGCUGAGGUGCGAAAGCCAGGGGAGCGAACGGG